AUACGGAGGUUGCAAGCGUUAAUCGGAAUUACUGGGCGUAAAGCGCGCGUAGGCGGCUUAUUAAGUCAGAUGUGAAAUCCCCGGGCUCAACCUGGGAACUGCAUCUGAUACUGGUAAGCUAGAGUUUUGGAGAGGGAAGUAGAAUUUCAGGUGUAGCGGUGAAAUGCAUAGAGAUCUGAAGGAAUACCAGUGGCGAAGGCGACUUCCUGGCCAAAAACUGACGCUGAGGUGCGAAAGCGUGGGUAGCAAACGGGAUUAGAAACCCUAGUAGUCC
rnacentral:rRNA from 1 species